rnacentral:rRNA from 1 species
GUACAUGCCUACAACAUAGCAUUAAUUCACUCGAUCCCAUUAGAACUUUGAAUUUAAGUGCGCUCAGGCUAGAGUAGUAUUGGGAUGGUUGACCACCUGGGAAGUCCUAGUGUUUUAUAUU